AGACCAAUUUGAAGGAUGCUUCAUAGCCCUUAGCUAUGAAGUCCAUAGCUAUCAGGCAAACUUGGAGUAAGAGCCUAUAGCUCUUACUAUUCAAUUUAAUUUCUUUUUAUUCAGAGUAUGUAUUUCAACUUAUCAUUAACUGCUGGAUGACAAGACAGACAAGGAAUGCUUGAAUUUCUGGACUACCAAGAGAGAAUGAUAUCUUGAGGAAGUUGUUCAGGAAUUUGACUGGGAUUUAGUUGAAGAAUUCCUCCUAGGUCCACAAAGACAGAUUCCUGUUAUGUGCAUUAUUGGCAUGCUGGACAACCUUUGGAAGUUCCAGGUACACCAUACAGAUUACUUCUCUAUGUCUGUGAACUGCUGUGAAGGCUUUCCUCCCUAGAACAGAAUUUGACUUGAGAUAUACCUUUCAGUGGAAAAAUAGGAGGGCACGAACUAUCUUUUCAGAUAUACUUCUGUCUGUGUCAUCAAUGCCUUUUUUUGCACUCACGACAUCAUCUCUUUCAUACUGGACUCCUUUUUGGGCAUCACAGCUAUGAAUUGCUGGCUUUGCGUAUCAAACUGCAGAGGUGAGUGUAAUUAGGUGAUAUCAGAUGAAACUAAUGGAUGGCAGUUACAAACAAAAGUCUUCAGAUGAUGGAUAAGUAAUCUGGAAAACAGCCAAAGGGGACUGAAGACAACAAAUGCUUGUAAGGAUUGAAAAAGUAAUUUGAUUUUUCCUCCAAGGAUUUGUUCAUUGAGGGCUACUAAACACAAGGAUGCAUACUCUGAGGCUUCCAUAGCCAUGGACCUUACCAGUGCAGAGCACAACAUCCAUACUUAGUCCUGUACUUCUAGUAAAGUCAACUUAGAUAUGAGGUGCAUGUUUCCAUGCUGAAGAACUCUCUACCCAUCUUUUAAGUGCACAUGGAUUAAUCUCAUCAAUUGCUCAGUCUGGAUUUGAUUGAACACCAACACAUUUGUUCAUCCGCUGGAUGAGGAAUCCUUUGACUGGGUUUUGACCUGAAAUCUGACACAAAUCUGUUUGUUUACUUAUCUGAAGCUGAUUAAUGUCAUUAUUGAUUGCUGCAGUUUGUUUACUGCAGCUACAAUGUCACAGGUUAAUUCUACUUGCUGUGGUCUUAACACCGUAUCUCCUAAAUUAUUGACUUUUGCGCAUGCUACUCCUUCAUUUGUUUACUCACAGUAAUAAAUCUUCAACUUUGUCUAAAAAUAAACAACACAGCACUGCUUAAGUGACUUAAAUGUCAAUCCAAGCGAAAAAGCUUGCAUCAAAUCUUUACACCAAAUAAUGUUACUAUCUAGUAUCCUUAGUACCGUUUGCUUCAAAAGUUAUAGUUUACUUUAUGACAAACAGUUACCUUUCAUGAUACUUACAUGACUCUUGUAAUAGAAAAGCCUAGUCAAGUUCUCCAAAGUUCUCAAAAAACCCCUCCAACCUGAUCAACAACUUCUGUUUUAUUUGAGUAUUUCUUGAUAUUCAUGAUGACCCCGUGAUAGGAAACUUUCUGCUCUAUAAGUGUCCUGUCAUAAAGCUUGUUACAUUCAAGACCCAUAUUAUGGAGGCAGGCAAACAUACCUCUUGGAGCUGAUAACACUAAGCUAAGACAAUCCUGCCCUAAACAAAGCUGGAUUCUGCACUUUUGUAAAAUCCUAUUUUUAUUUCAAUUAAAGUUGUAAGAGGUGAGGAAAAAGAAACAUCAAAAUUUGCAAUUAAAUCCAGAGAACUGUGGGAACCUCCAUCCCCACAAUUAAAUAUCAUCAUUCAAUAGUAGAACAACACUGUUUGAUAUUUGAUCACCCAAUGCUUAAUGUAAAAACUAUAGAACUUUUUUAGGCCACAAAACUAAAUAGUCCGUAUUUUUAAAUCAUUCUUGAAGAAAUAAAUGUUGGCAGUCAAUUAGGUACUUAAAACAUUCAACAGUUCUAGUGUGAAUAUGACAAAGUAUUAUAACCUUUUUUUCAAUACAACUGUGUUAUUUUGAGAUUUUUCAGACAUUUUGUUUCUGUCCUUAAGGGAAACUAAGCAUCUUACUGUACUUGUAGAUAAUAUACGCAAGACUGAUGCACAUAUGUCAUGAACAUCACUGCUUUUAAAUGCCGUUCUGAU